GUUGAUAUUUUAUUUCUUGGCUUUGUCAAUCUCUGCAUAUAAAGCUUAUAAAUGUAAUUCUUGAGCAUUUUAAUUUGUAGAUCACCUUUAACCACAAAUCCCCAAAAAUUGGUAUCCAACUAUUAAUAAUGAAUCUGUAGUAUAUAUAUAUGUAUGAAGGUACAAAAUCCUCACUCCAUUAAACUUUCAUAUAAAAAAGAAGAUGUGGUAUGAAUGCCAAUAAGACAACUAUCCACAAAAGACCAAAAUGACAGUUUCAUGUUUUUUUCUGUGGAAUUGUUGCAAAAAAAACAAAAAAAAACAUAAUGGCUCAAUGGACCAACUUGGAUGACAUUUUCAAAUGAACAAUGAUUAAAUAAUCUUUUAAAAACUCUUUAAAUAUAUAUAAUGUAUUGCACAAAAUUUUAUUGUAGUUUUAGUUACAAAAAUGUACCGAUGAAUAAUAAUAAAAAAAUUACAUCAACAUCUUGCAGGAAAAUAUUUUUGUACAGUGGAACCUGUUUAAACCGAACCUCUUUGGGAAGAUUUUGUUCGGUUUUGGCCUAUGUUCGGUUUUAUCAGGUUCACAGUGCAUACAAUUUGAUAUGACUGUGCUUAGGAACAUGUUUGGUUUAUACAGGUUUUCGGUUAAUGCAGGAUUCGGUUUAGCCAGGUUUCACUGUAUUAUGGGGCAAGGUUGUUAAACAUUUUGAGGGCCUUAUAUAUUAUGAUACAAAUAAGAAGAUACAGAAUGAUUUCAAAU
rnacentral:lncRNA from 1 species